rnacentral:rRNA from 1 species
CGCACAAGCGGUGGAGUAUGUGGUUUAAUUCGACGCAACGCGAAGAACCUUACCAGGUCUUGACAUUGAUGGACAGAACUAGAGAUAGUUCCUCCUCUUCGGAAGCCAGAAAACAGGUGGUGCACGGUUGUCGUCAGCUCGUGUCGUGAGAUGUUGGGUUAAGUCCCGCAACGAGCGCAACCCCUAUCUUAUGUUGCCAGCACGUAAUGGUGGGAACUCAUGAGAGACUGCCGCAGACAAUGCGGAGGAAGGCGGGGAUGACGUCAAAUCAUCAUGCCCCUUAUGACCUGGGCUACACACGUACUACAAUGGGCUUUAAUAGAGGGAAGCGAAGUCGCGAGGCGGAGCAAACCCCAGAAACAAGCUCUCAGUUCGGAUCGUAGGCUGCAACUCGCCUACGUGAAGUCGGAAUCGCUAGUAAUCGCAGGUCAGCAUACUGCGGUGAAUACGUUCCCGGGCCUUGUACACACCGCCCGUCACACCACGAAAGUCGGAAGUGCCCAAAGCCGGUGGGGUAACCUUCGGGAGCCAGCCGUCUAAGGUAAAGUCGAUGAUUGGGGUGAAGUCGUAACAAGGUAGCC